rnacentral:rRNA from 1 species
GUGGGGAAUAUUGGACAAUGGGGGGAACCCUGAUCCAGCCAUGCCGCGUGUGUGAAGAAGGCCUUUUGGUUGUAAAGCACUUUAAGUGGGGAGGAGGCUUACCUGGUUAAUACCUAGGCUAAGUGGACGUUACCCACAGAAUAAGCACCGGCUAACUCUGUGCCAGCAGCCGCGGUAAUACAGAGGGUGCGAGCGUUAAUCGGAUUUACUGGGCGUAAAGCGCGCGUAGGUGGUUAAUUAAGUCAAAUGUGAAAUCCCCGAGCUUAACUUGGGAAUUGCAUUCGAUACUGGUUAGCUAGAGUAUGGGAGAGGAUGGUAGAAUUCCAGGUGUAGCGGUGAAAUGCGUAGAGAUCUGGAGGAAUACCGAUGGCGAAGGCAGCCAUCUGGCCUAAUACUGACACUGAGGUGCGAAAGCAUGGGGAGCAAACAGGAUUAGAUACCCUAGUAGUCC